rnacentral:tRNA from 1 species
GCCUUCGUGGUGGAGUGGUCAGCACACUGAGCCGGUAUUUCAGAGGUCCGUGGUUCGAUUCUCGGCGAAGGCA